CGCCCUCUGAAAAGUUUUGAGGUAUAGGGGGUACUGCCUGCCCGGUGACGAUUAGUUAAACGGCCGCGGUAUUUUUGACUGUGCGAAGGUAGCGUAAUCAUUUGCUCUUUAAUUGGGGGCUUGAAUGAAUGGCAAGACAGAAGCUAUGCUGUCUUUUCUUUAAUUUCUUGAAUUUGAUGUUAUCGUGAAGAAGCGAUAAUACGGCCGUAGGACGAGAAGACCCUGUCGAGCUUUACUAGGAGCGAUUUUGUUUUAUUAGAAUUUUGGGGGCUAAUUGUUUUUACCUGGACGGUAAUGUUGUGAGUUACUCUUAGAAUAAUUUAUUGGGAAAUUGUUUUGUUGUUUGGUUGGGGCAACCGUGGAGAACAUCAAUCCUCCGCUAUUUAUUAAGGAGAAGUUACUGCUUUGUUGUGAUUAUUUGUUUAAUAGGAUCCACUGUUUAAGUGAUUAAAGGAAUAAGUUACCGCAGGGAUAACAGCGUCAUUCUUUUGGAGAGUUCAUAUUGAUAAGAGAGUUUGCGACCUCGAUGUUGGAUCGGGAUGUCCUGGGGGUGCAGCAAUUCCUGAGGGUUGGUCUGUUCGACCAUUAAAAUCCU
rnacentral:rRNA from 1 species